rfam:Gossypium raimondii chromosome 7, whole genome shotgun sequence.
AGAGAGAUGUCUGAGUGGUUGAUAGCUCCGAUCUUGAAAACUGAUAUAGUUUGAAACAAAGAAGUAUCGAGGGUUCGAAUCUCUCUCUCUCAU